UUUUGAAAUGCUGACUGCUAAUGUGUAUUCCGUAUUUUUAGAGUAAUGGUUAACAUGCAACGAUUCUUUCUACGUACUAUUGUUCUGCUUUAUUUAAUGGGUUCCUUGCAAAGUAUAGUCGUGGUACAAACUCCUCCAUAUGUGAGCCAAACUCGUGAGGGAUCUGCAGUGUUGAAGUGCAAACACGACGGGAGCAGCUAUCAGUACUUGUAUUGGUACCGGCAGCAAGGAACAAGCGGGCCUUUACAGUUAAUUGGGUAUCUUACUAUUCAGUCUCCUACCCAAGAAAUCGGCUUUGAAGAACGAUUUAUUCUAGCUGGUGAUGCUAGGAGCGAGGGAACACUUACUAUCAAGAAAUUAAUUCAAGAAGACAACGCCUUGUAUUUGUGUGCUGUCAGUUUACACAACGGUGCGCCUUUACACCUUUCUCGGCAUAAAAAGUGAGACCUUUAUGAUAAAGCCAUUAUUGUUUAGUGGAAUUCAGUACACAUACAGCAAUGGCCACUUACUAAUGAACGGUUCUGAAUUAAAGUGUAGCUGUGUGAUUCCGCUUUGAAUCUUUGAAAUUAUACUGCCUCCAUAUUUAAAUAAAACGAGUGAAAGAAAAAAAUUUCUAAAAUCUAGUCGUUGAAGAGUGAUGUAAUUUUCGGUGUUAGCAAUAUUUCAUAUAAAGAGUCUCUUUCACAUGAGCCGUCAGUUUAUGUUUGUGUCCUGAAUGAGUUUUGUUACCAUUUGAUUUAACCAGCAAACAGCAAUUAGUGUAUGGAAACUUAUUUUACGACAAUGGCUUUAGAGGUGUCAAAAGCGUAUGUUAAUUUCAUAUUUGU